GUUGGUCUGUAGACACCUCUCUGGUGUUUCCUUCCUCUUCAAAGUUCUGCAUUCCUGAACUUCCUGCUUCUCCUGACUGAUGCUGAUCUGACCGUCUCCGUGUGAAGCUCCAUGUAAAGGUGAAGGUAGAAAGUGUGUGUGAGCUGAUGUGGAUGUGAAUUCAGCAGCAUGGAUCAGUGUGAGAACAGAGACAAGGGAGUCCCUCCCUCUAAAACCACUUUGUGUGGGGAACAUGAGAGCCAGACCAAAGCUCAGAGUUCAAAGACGGAGAAGUCUGUAUCAGAGCAGCUACUGGGCAUGUUGGAGAAUCUGGGAAAGAAGGAUAUGAAGAUUUUCCACUUUUACCUGCAGCAUGUACCUAUGGGUGAUUUCAUGAACAUCAAAAAGUGUCAUCUCGAGAACGCAAACAGAUUGGAAACUGUAAAUGUGAUGUUGCAGACAUAUACUGAUGACCAUGUGAU
rnacentral:lncRNA from 1 species